AAUGAAAUAUUCUUAUUAAAUACUUUGUUCCUUACAUAAUUGAGUGUCCUGACAACAAAACCUGACCGAAUGCUGUUGGGGGACCUCCAGAAUCUGGAUUAGGGUCUCCUGUAUUAUUCAGUUUUAAUUUGCUAUAGUGUAACACGUAAAUUCUCUUUUUUUUUAGCUCCUUGUACUUUCACUAGUAACACUACUCAUGCUCCUUGUACUUUCACUAGUAACACUACUCAUGCUCCUUGUACUUUCACUAGUAACACUACUCAUGUGCUUGCUGUCAUUACUGGGAUUUCAUUACUUCUCAAUGUGGGGCUGCUGUACCUUAGAAGUAGGCAAAAUCAGAACUCUGCGAAUUAUCCAGAAGAGGGAGGGUCACAGGACUAAGAACACGUUAUAAUGAUAUCCCAAAAUGUUAAGCUAUUAUUUGUUGGCUACACACACAUGUGAAACAUACCUUCAACAAGCUCUAUACUGUUAUAUUUUUGGGGCGUUUUUGUUUUGUUUGGUUUCCCUAUGAACUGUAUAACAUGUAUGUAGCUGAAAUAACAAUAAACUUCCUGGUUUCAUCCA
rnacentral:lncRNA from 1 species